rnacentral:rRNA from 1 species
UGAGGAAUAUUGCUCAAUGGGCGAAAGCCUGAAGCAGCAACGCCGCGUGCGCGAUGAAGGCCUUCGGGUCGUAAAGCGCUUUUGAGAGGGACGAGAUAGGACGGUACCUCUGGAAUAAGUCACGGCUAACUACGUGCCAGCAGCCGCGGUAAAACGUAGGUGGCAAGCGUUAUCCGGAUUCACUGGGCGUAAAGCGCGUGCAGGUGGCUUCGUAAGUUGGACGUUAAAUCUCCCGGCCUAACCGGGAGGAGUCGUUCAAUACUGCGGGGCUAGAGGGCAGAAGAGGGGGGUGGAAUUGCUGGUGUAGUGGUGAAAUGCGUAGAUAUCAGCAGGAACACCUGUGGCGAAAGCGGCCCCCUGGUCUGCUCCUGACACUCAGACGCGAAAGCUAGGGGAGUGAACGGGAUUAGAAACCCCGGUAAUCCUAGCCGUAAACGAUGGAUGCUAGGUGUGGGUGGUAUUGACCCCAUCCGUGCCGAAGCCAACGCGUUAAGCAUCCCGCCUGGGG